rnacentral:rRNA from 1 species
GAUUGAACGCUGGCGGUAUGCUUAACACAUGCAAGUCGAACGGAAACGAUACUAGCUUGCUAGUAGGCGUCGAGUGGCGGACGGGUGAGUAACGCGUAGGAAUCUGCCUGAUAGUGGGGGAUAGCCCGAAGAAAUUCGGAUUAAUACCGCAUAAUCUAUUCGUAGUAAAGUGGGGGACUUUCGAGCCUCACGCUAUCAGAUGAGCCUGCGUAAGAUUAGCUUGUUGGUAGGGUAAAAGCCUACCAAGGCGACGAUCUUUAGCUGGUCUGAGAGGAUGAUCAGCCACAUCGGGACUGAGACACGGCCCGAACUCCUACGGGAGGCAGCAGUGGGGAAUAUUGGACAAUGGGGGCAACCCUGAUCCAGCAAUACCGCGUGUGUGAAGAAGGCCUGAGGGUUGUAAAGCACUUUCAAUUGUGAAGAAAAGUUAGCGGUUAAUAACCGUUAGCCUUGACGUUAACUUUAGAAGAAGCACCGGCUAACUCCGUGCCAGCAGCCGCGGUAAUACGGAGGGUGCAAGCGUUAAUCGGAAUUACUGGGCGUAAAGCGUGCGUAGGCGGUUUAUUAAGUCAGAUGUGAAAGCCCCGGGCUUAACCUGGGAACUGCAUUUGAAACUGGUCAACUAGAGUAUGGUAGAGGAAAGUGGAAUUUCUGGUGUAGCGGUGAAAUGCGUAGAUAUCAGAAGGAACAUCAAUGGCGAAGGCAGCUUUCUGGACCAAUACUGACGCUGAGGUACGAAAGCGUGGGUAGCAAACAGGAUUAGAUACCCUGGUAGUCCACGCCGUAAACGAUGAUAACUAGCCGUUGGGGGGAUUUACCCUUUAGUGGCGAAGCUAACGCGUUAAGUUAUCCGCCUGGGGAGUACGGCCGCAAGGUUAAAACUCAAAGGAAUUGACGGGGACCCGCACAAGCGGUGGAGCAUGUGGUUUAAUUCGAUGCAACGCGAAGAACCUUACCUGGUCUUGACAUCCUGCGAACUUUCUAGAAAUAGAUUGGUGCCUUCGGGAACGCAGUGACAGGUGCUGCAUGGCUGUCGUCAGCUCGUGUCGUGAGAUGUUGGGUUAAGUCCCGUAACGAGCGCAACCCCUAUCCUUAUUUGCCAGCACAUCAUGGUGGGAACUAUAAGGAGACUGCCGGUGAUAAACCGGAGGAAGGCGGGGACGACGUCAAGUCAUCAUGGCCCUUACGACCAGGGCUACACACGUGCUACAAUGGGAAGGACAAAGAGCCGCGAAGCCGCGAGGUGUAGCUAAUCUCAUAAACCUUUUCGUAGUCCGGAUUGGAGUCUGCAACUCGACUCCAUGAAGUCGGAAUCGCUAGUAAUCGUAGAUCAGAAUGCUACGGUGAAUACGUUCCCGGGUCUUGUACACACCGCCCGUCAAGG